CAAAACCCCAAAACACCCGAGGUGCUCCCAGCUCUCUCCCCAGAAAGGCCCUGUUUCACCCCAUAUUAUCUGAAGCAGCCCAGGAUGAACUGCUGUGUGGGGCUCCUCACGCCAUCCUGUCCUUCCUGGAUGAGGCUGCUUGUGAUUCUGCUGCUGCUGAGAUUUUUGCUAAUUAUUUGGUGAUUAGAACAUCUGCUCCCAAAGUGAUGAUCACAACACAAGUGGAAACAAUCUACAUGAGCCUGAGGACCCUUUGGCCCACCCACUGCACACUAUUCUGUGGAAAUUGUGAGUGGCUACUACGUUUUGGAUGAACUUCUUUAUUUGGAUGAGCUUCUUUAUUCACUGUUUAUUCUCCUCUGAGUAAAUUCUUUCUCUUAAACCUAGAAAGCAGCCAUGGGUAUGAAGCCAGUUAGGCUGCUAUCAGUAGAAGAUACUGCUGAAAAUGUUUAUUGAUAAAGGAAGAUCCUGCUGAUUAGCCAAGUGAGCCAGAAAACAAGGGCUAAUCUUGGGUACAGGACAUGGAAUUACACUAUAAACUGCAAGUUAAAUGCUAAAACAGAAAAAAAUCUCUUUGGAUCACUUAAUGAACGACUAUAUAAAACACAGAUCUUUUUAUGAAUUCAUGUAGAGUCAAGUGAUACCGAUGCACUUGCACAAAUUUUUUUUGCUUUUCCACGGCACAUAAAUAGCUCUUCGUUACUUAUCCAGCUUUUGUUCCCUGCCCUCAAUACUAUUUGAUUUCAAGAAGGAAUUCUACAUCAAGAACAAAAAGGGUCUCUACCAGCCUUUGAAAUGGAAAUGUAGAAGUCUCAGUGUGAAAUUGUAAAAGUCCUUGAUAUGCAAUCUGCUUGACCCAAAGACCAUCUGAGAAGUGCAUGUGUUGGGAACCCUGGUGAUAUAUAUACCACCAUAAAACAGCUCACUUCUACCAGUGGUCUCUGCUGUUACAAAUCACUAUGUGUUUUAAAAUAAGUGCUUUGCUCUGAUGGUGUAGAUAUGUGUAGAUUUAUUAUAAGAAAGGCAACUGGAAAUCAAAUAUUUAUUGCCUAAUUAUUCUGAAUAUUCAUGAAAUCUAAGUGAACACAUAAGGCAAUAAUAUGCUCUUAAAAAUGUGUGAAACAUCUUUUGGCUCCUUUAUGAACUCCCAAGAGCAGGACUGAUAGGGAAAAGCAUACUACUUCUUUUGUCCUAUAAUUUGUCCUGAGGAAGGUUUAGUCCCAUAAAACUAUGAGUGCUUGCCAGUGUUUUCAACUUAGGGAUGAAAAAAAAAAAACC
rnacentral:lncRNA from 1 species